rnacentral:rRNA from 1 species
CCAGACUCCUACGGGAGGCAGCAGUGGGGAAUAUUGCACAAUGGGGGAAACCCUGAUGCAGCAACGCCGCGUGAGUGAGGAAGUAUUUCGGUAUGUAAAGCUCUAUCAGCAGGGAAUAGAAAAGAAGGUACCUGAAAAAGAAGCCCCGGCUAACUACGUGCCAGCAGCCGCGGUAAUACGUAGGGGGCAAGCGUUAUCCGGAUUUACUGGGUGUAAAGGGAGCGUAGGCGGUUAGAUAAGUCUGAUGUGAAAGCCCACAGCUUAACUGUGGGAUUGCAUUGGAAACUAUAGAACUAGAGUGUCGGAGAGGUAAGUGGAAUUCCUAGUGUAGCGGUGAAAUGCGUAGAUAUUAGGAGGAACACCGGUGGCGAAGGCGGCCUGCUGGACUGCGACUGACGUUGAGGCCCGAAAGCGUGGGGAGCAAACAGGAUUAGAUACCCUCGUAA